AUCUUCAAUUUCCAAAGUCUUCUGACAGUUGUGUUACUAUUGAUAUGUACAUGUGCUUAUAUACGGUCCAUAGCGCCAAGUCUUCUUGACAAAAACAAGGAAGGGUUAUUAGGAAUAUUCUGGAAAUGUGCAAGAAUAGGU